rnacentral:rRNA from 1 species
GUGGGGAAUCUUGCGCAAUGGGGGCAACCCUGACGCAGCCAUGCCGCGUGAAUGAUGAAGGCCUUAGGGUUGUAAAGUUCUUUUGCCCGUGACGAUGAUGACGGUAACGGGAGAAUAAGCUCCGGCUAACUUCGUGCCAGCAGCCGCGGUAAUACGAAGGGGGCUAGCGUUGUUCGGAAUUACUGGGCGUAAAGCGCGCGCAGGCGGUUCGAUAAGUUAGGGGUGAAAUCCCCGGGCUCAACCCGGGAAUGGCCUUUAAGACUGUCGAGAUAGAAGACGAGAGAGGAGAGUGGAAUUCCCAGUGUAGAGGUGAAAUUCGUAGAUAUUGGGAAGAACACCGGUGGCGAAGGCGGCUCACUGGCUCGUAUCUGACGCUGAGGCGCGAAAGCGUGGGGAGCAAACAGGAUUAGAUACCAGUGUAGUCC